rnacentral:rRNA from 1 species
CCCUUAGAUGUUCUGGGCCGCACGCGCGCUACACUGACGAAUGCAACGAGCUUAUAACCUUGGCCGAAAGGUCUGGGUAAUCUCCAAAUUUCGUCGUGAUGGGGAUAGAUUAUUGCAAUUAUUAAUCUUCAACGAGGAAUGCCUAGUAAGCGCAAGUCAUCAGCUUGCAUUGAUUACGUCCCUGCCCUUUGUACACACCGCCCGUCGCUCCUACCGAUUGAAUGGUCCGGUGAAGCGUUCGGACCGUGGCCUUUGGACGGUUCGCCGUCUGUUGGCUGCGGGAAGUUCGUUAAACCUUAUCAUUUAGAGGAAGGAGAAGUCGUAACA